GGAGUCUUAUUCCAUCACACAGGCUGGAGUGCAGUGGCGCGAUCUCAGCUCACUGAAACUUCUGCCUCCCAGGUUCAAGCGAUUCUCCUGCCUCAGCCUCCUGAGUAGCUGGGAUUACAGGUGCCCACCACCACACCCAGCUAAUUUUUGUAUUUUUAGUAGAGACGGGGCUUCACCAUGUUGGUCAGGCUGGUCUUGGACUCCUGACCUCAAAUGAUCCACCCGCCUUGGCCUCCCAAAGUGCUGGGCUUACAGGCAUGAGCCACCGCGCCCGGCUGCCUUACAUAUUUACAUAUUUCCCAAGUGUUCCUAGCUAGGAACUAUUGCUGUUACUCAAACUCCUACAGGGAAGGUCAGGGCCUGCUUUGGACAGUUCCAGGGACAGUGACCAGUGCAAAUAGUGGGUUGAUGCUUCUUUAUUUCUUCUUCUCUUUUUUUGAGACAGGGUCUCCCUCUGUUGCGUAGGCUGGAGUGCCGUGGUGCAAUCACCGCUCACUGCAGCCUCAACCUCCUGGUUCAGUUGAUCCUCCCACCUCAGCCUUCUGAGUAGCUAGGACUACAGGUGCGUGCCACCAUAUUCAGCUGAUUUUUUGUUGUAAUUUUUGUGGAGAUGGGGUUUUGCCAUGUUGCCCAGGCUGGUCUUGAAUUUCUGAGCUCAAAUGAUCCACCUGCCUCAGCCUCCCACAGUGCUGGGAUUACCAGUGUGAGCCACUGUGCCUGGCUAGGAUAAUGUUUCUUCCAAUCACAAUUGCAAUAUUAUGGAUUUUUUUUUUUUUUUUUUUUUGAGACAGAGUCUCAUGUUGCCUAGGCUGGAGUGCAGUGGUGCAAUCUCAGCUCACUGCAACCUCCGCCUCCUGGGUUCAAGCAAUUCUCCUGCUUCAGCCCCCCAAGUAGCUGGGACUACAGGCAUGCACCACCACGCCUGGCUAAUUUUUGUAUUUUUAGUAGAGACGGGGUUUCGCCAUGUUGGCCAGGCUCGUCUUGAACUCCUGACCUCAGGUGAUCCACCCACCUGGCUCGACCUCCCAAAGUGCUAUGAUUACAAGCUUGAGCCACCGCGCCCGGCUGCGGUAUCAUGGAUUUACAUGAAAAGAAAUAUACGGUAUUAGAACUCUGGGACUUUAAGAUGUGCUAGGUAAGAUUUCUCAGGUACAGAUGAAUUGUCUCAGACACAGAACUCUCACAAUGCACUGCUGGGGAGACGCAGAAACCCUGAGGUACCCCCUUCCCACAUGCUGUCUUCUAAGGAAUGACAAGACCUGACCACAACUAGACCCAAUAGGCUAACAUGACCAUUUCAGCUCCAUCAUGUGAGUGGGCCUUUGUCCCACUGAGGUUUCCCAUCACCCUCUGGGUACCUUUCUCCAGUUAAAUUUCCAUGUUAUGAACUCUGCCUUCCCUACCAAGAAGUGUGAAUUCACGGCUGGGUGCAGUGGCUCACGCCUGUAAUCCCAGCACUUUGGGAGGCCAAGGCAGGAUGAUCACUUGAGAUCAGGAGUUCAAGACCAGCCUGGCCAGCAUCGUGAAACCCCGUCCUACUAAAAAUACAAAUAUUAGCUGGGCAUGGUGGUGCAUGCCUGUAAUCCUAGCUACUUGGGAGGCUGAGGCAGGAGAAUCACUUGAAACCAGGAGGCAGAGGUUGCAGUGAGCCGAGAUUGUGCCACUGCACUCCAGCCUGGGUGACAGAGCAAGACACCUUCUGGAAAAAAAAAAGAAGUGUGAACUCAGACUCCUAGAGACUCCUAGCCUCUCUGCCAGGAGACAUGGACACGCUUCCCAGCUCACACCCCUCGGAUGCACCUGUGUUAAGCUUUCGCGUGACAGGGACUGGUUGACGGGAGAGGCUCUGUGCACAGAUCCUGCUCUGCUGGUACUGCUAGUGGUGGUGACACCUGGCUGCUGGGGGCAGCAGCAGUGGCAAGAGUGAGUCUCUGAGGGCCCAUGUUGGGUUCAGCUAUGCUUGCAGGAAAGUCACGCCCCUGGGUUCAGGUCUCGGGAUAGGCUGUGGCUGUGGCUGUGGCCAUGGUCCUGAGAGUUGCCACAGGAAGCUCAGCCUCAACGCCUUUCUUCCGACCCCUCUCAAGGGGGGUUGAGCUUGUGAGUUACCUGAGGUCUUUUUUUUUUUUUUUUUUUUGAGACGGAGUCUCGCUCUGUUGCCCAGGCUGGAGUGCAGUGAUCUCGGCUCACUGCAAGCUCCAUCUUGCGGGUUCACACCAUUCUCCUGCCUCAGCCUCCCAAGUAGCUGGGACUACAGGCGCCCGCCAUCACGCCCGGCUAAUUUUUUGUACAUUUAGUAGAGACGGGGUUUCACCAUGUUAGUCAGGAUGGUCUCAAUCUCCUGACCUCGUGAUCCACCCGCCUCGGCCUCCCAAAGUGCUGGGAUUACAGGCAUGAGCCACCGCGCCCGGCCAACCUGAGAUCUUUAGCAAAUCUUUUGUGUGUCUGUCUUUUUCUGCUUAAAUUAGCCAUGGUGAAUUCUGUUCUGAGUUUUGUUUUUGGUAACUAAAAAUCCUGACCCUUACACAUUGGUACCAGGAGUGGUCCCAAGCAACAGACCUUCAGGAAAAGCGGGAUAUGAAGUUUGUUAUCUGAAAUGAGUGGGUCUGAACACAGAGAGAAUGCAUUUCGUGUAGAAGGGUGAGCACCAGGGGCAAAAGUGUCACUUCAGUGAGGACUUUGUCGUGACCUGGACUGUCACAUCCAUUGAAGGCAAGGCUUUGUGCGGAAUGAAAGGGGACAGCCAUGGAAUGGGAUGGAAACAAGAAGGUUAAACUUGGCGCGUUGUUUGGCUGCAUUUAGAUACACUGGAGGCCCCUGUAGUUCCCGAGCACGAUGACUGGGUGUUCACGUGCACGUGUGGGAUGUGCCACCCUCUGAACCUUGUUACGAUGUUGGCACAUUACCCUGGACCUGACCUUGGAUAAAUAAAUAAAUAAAUAAAUAAAUAACUACACUGGAUGCCAGUUGUGGUGGCUCACACCUGUAAUCCCAGCACUUUGGGAGGCCAAGGCAGGCAGAUGACUUGAGGUGAGGAGUUUGAGACCAGCCUGGACAACAUGGUGAAACCCCGUCUCUACUAAAAAUAUAAAAAUUACCUGGAUGUGGUGGCAGGUGCCUGGAAUCCCAGCUACUCAGGUGGCUGAGGCAGGAGAAUCACUUGAACCCCAGGAGGCGGAGGUUGUAGUGAGGCAGGAUCAGACCACUGCACUCCAGGGCGACAUAGUGAGACUCUGUCUCAGGAAAAAAAAAAAAAAAAAAUUGGCCAGGCAUGUUGGCUCACACCUGUAAUCCCAGCAAUUUGGGAAGCUGAGGCAGGUAGAUCACCUGAGGUCAGGAGCUGGAGACCAGCCUGACCAACGUGGUGAAACCCCAUCUCUACUAAAAAUACAAAGUUAGCCAGGUGUGGUGGCGGGUGCCUGUAAUCCCAGCUACUUGGGAGGCUGAAGCAGGAGAAUCACUUGAACCUAGGAGGUGGAGGUUGCAGUGAGCCAAGAUUGUGCCAUUGCACUCCAGCCUGGGUGACAAGAGCAAAACUCCGUCUCAGAAAACGACAACAACAACAACAACACUGGAGACAAUAAGUCUUAAGUUUUGGCUUAAGAUGUUUUCAAAGAACUGGGGAAUUUCUGACUCUUCUGAAUGGGAAUCUCCAACAAUGGCAGUGUGCGGCUGCCGGUCUAUGCAGCUUUGGCCACUGGGUACUGUUUACAGUCUGUGACAGGCUAUGCACUAUUUUGUGAACAGGAGGACUCCCAUAAGGAGGACUCCACAGGGUCCAGUGGCUUGGAUGGGGCCAUGCGGAAAGAUCUGGAUGACCUGGAGCUUGCUGUAUCCCCAACCCACAGAGUGCCCCUUCCAGCAGAAGCUGCCCCCCUUCUGCCUGAUGGAGCUUGAAGACCCCAUAAUAGGCUCACAAGACUGUCACAUGUGAGAAGGAGCCAGCUGUCCUCAUGCUAAACUCUCACCCCACCUCCUGCCUCCAAGCCAGUGAAUGGAUUCUAGGCGGUCUUUCACUGAGCUGGUGGUUAUUACUUGCCCCCAGAGUCUAACUAAUAGAUUGCUGCUUUAGGCUCCUGUUGUAACAGGGAGUUCUGCUAUCAAAACAGAACAAAAUAAAACUGGCUGGGUGCAGUGGCUCACACCUGUAAUCCCAGCACUUUGGGAGGCCCAGGCCGGUGGAUUAUUUGAGGUCAGGAUUUCGAGACCAUCUUGGCCACAUGGCAAAACCUCGUCUCUACUAAAAAUACAAAAAUUAACUGGGCAUGAUGGAGCGUGCCUAUAAUCCCAGCUACUUGGGAGGGUGAGACGGGAGAAUUGCUUGA
rnacentral:lncRNA from 10 species